rnacentral:rRNA from 1 species
GAUGAACGCUCGCUACAGGCUUAACACAUGCAAGUCGAGGGGCAGCAUGGUCUUAGCUUGCUAAGGCCGAUGGCGACCGGCGCACGGGUGAGUAACACGUAUCCAACCUGCCGUCUACUCUUGGACAGCCUUCUGAAAGGAAGAUUAAUACAAGAUGGCAUCAUGAGUCCGCAUGUUCACAUGAUUAAAGGUAUUCCGGUAGACGAUGGGGAUGCGUUCCAUUAGAUAGUAGGCGGGGUAACGGCCCACCUAGUCUUCGAUGGAUAGGGGUUCUGAGAGGAAGGUCCCCCACAUUGGAACUGAGACGCGGUCCAAACUCCUACGGGAGGCAGCAGUGAGGAAUAUUGGUCAAUGGGCGCAGGCCUGAACCAGCCAAGUAGCGUGAAGGAUGACUGCCCUAUGGGUUGUAAACUUCUUUUAUAAAGGAAUAAAGUCGGGUAUGUAUACCCGUUUGCAUGUACUUUAUGAAUAAGGAUCGGCUAACUCCGUG